AAUUAUAAAACCGUAUCCUCACGACUCCAAUAGACCGUUGUUAAUUGUUGAAAACACGAUCAGACUAUUUUGAUAUUAUGUGGUAAAAUUGUCCCGUCUUUUUCCACGCUACUAUAAUGCAAUGCAAACUAGUUUCCUGCGUUUCGCGAUUAAACGAUACCAAAAACUUAAUGCAAAGCUUUCCCAACUACCAACCGCCCAUAGGUAGUGGGAGUCUAUGUAGCCAGCCAGUCUAAAUUAUCCCUAUGUGAGAGAAGCAAGGCGAUGCUUGUCAGGAUUCUUAUUGUAUUAUUGGUAGUUGCCUUUAUAGGCGCUUCGUCUGCUGUAGCUCAACGUAGACGGCUGUAUUGCAAAAACACGAAAUAUUGCCCUGGAACCAUGACGCCCAGUCGGAAUAAUAACGCUCGACGUCGCGCAUGGAGCUCCUGGGAUUUCAGGCAAUUGGAUGAUGAGAUACUGGAAUAUGCACUAGGAAAGAGCAUUGCAAGCAGAAAUGCUGACCAUGUAAUGCUAGAGCUAUUCAAUAUGGAGCAAUAGACUAAGGUUUCCUGUCAAGAGAAGUGACCACGGUAAUAAGAACUUGUAUUGAUUUUGUUGAAAUAAAUACGAAGUUCCAACUGUGAGGAAUCUUUUAUAUGUAGAAGAGACAUGCAGUAUCAGUUUUAGGAACCUAGAUCUUGGCUGUUUACCUAGCGUCCUAGCUUAUAGCGCAUUGGUACGGUGGUUAUAGAACGGUCGCUUCUAGGCUAAAUGCUAUAGGUUCGAGGCGCCACUUCAUGUGUAUUGUGGGCUACGUGUCCUUGGGGAAGAAAAUUAACGGCGACUGCUACACGCCAAAGUUCUGAGUUGUCCAAAUUAUCAGCCAUACAGAAAAACAAACACCCACGAAGUUACAUAUGUGGUAACUUGUAAGCAAGGUCUAUUAAAAUAUAGACUAUUCUAUAAUAUUAAACUCCUCGCCGCGUAAGUCUGCGUGAAAAUUAGUUUUAUGGUUUUCGUCUGUAUAAGAAAGAGGUAUUGCUAUAUUUGGGGCAAGGAAAAGGGCACUGGCUGAUUAAAGAAAGCAUCAGCGAGACAUUCGCCAAGCAAUCUUCAUAAAAUUGGCCGCAUGAGUGAGCGGUGAGACAUCAUAUUGUUGAGCAAUACCGUUUGCAAUGUUGCUUCUAAUGGGGAACCCCCAUCAAAGGGAACGUAACAAUGCUGAGUGUUUACGUAAUAAUGUACAAUAAAAGUCGAGAAAUGGCAGAUUGCUGAUUUAUCAAAACAAAUAGAUACUGUACAAGCAAACAAUGAAAUAGUUACAAGACCUGACACUG